AGUGAACGCUGGCGGUAGGCCUAACACAUGCAAGUCGAACGGCAGCACAGUAAGAGCUUGCUCUUACGGGUGGCGAGUGGCGGACGGGUGAGGAAUACAUCGGAAUCUACUUUUUCGUGGGGGAUAACGUAGGGAAACUUACGCUAAUACCGCAUACGACCUACGGGUGAAAGCAGGGGAUCUUCGGACCUUGCGCGAUUGAAUGAGCCGAUGUCGGAUUAGCUAGUUGGCGGGGUAAAGGCCCACCAAGGCGACGAUCCGUAGCUGGUCUGAGAGGAUGAUCAGCCACACUGGAACUGAGACACGGUCCAGACUCCUACGGGAGGCAGCAGUGGGGAAUAUUGGACAAUGGGCGCAAGCCUGAUCCAGCCAUACCGCGUGGGUGAAGAAGGCCUUCGGGUUGUAAAGCCCUCUUUGUUGGGAAAGAAAAGCAGCAGGUUAAUACCCCGCUGUUCUGACGGUACCCAAAGAAUAAGCACCGGCUAACUUCGUG
rnacentral:rRNA from 1 species